rnacentral:rRNA from 1 species
UACGUAGGGCGCGAGCGUUGUCCGGAAUUAUUGGGCGUAAAGAGCUCGUAGGUGGUUUGUUGCGCCUGCCGUGAAAACCCGAGGCUUAACCUCGUGGCUUGCGGUGGAUACGGGCAGACUUGAGGUAGGUAGGGGAGAAUGGAAUUCCCGGUGUAGCGGUGAAAUGCGCAGAUAUCGGGAGGAACACCGGUGGCGAAGGCGGUUCUCUGGGCCUUACCUGACGCUGAGGAGCGAAAGCGUGGGGAGCGAACAGG